rnacentral:rRNA from 1 species
UCAGACCGGUAUAAGCCAGGUCGGUUUCUAUCUUCUAAAAAAAAAUUUUACAGUACGAAAGGACCCAAAAAAAUAAUUUAAUUUUAAAAUUAGCAAAAAAUGCAUUAGAAUUAGAAUCUAAAUAAACUUCAAUAACCUUUAUAUUACUCUAUAUAAUA